AGCGAACGCUGGCGGCAGGCCUAACACAUGCAAGUCGAACGAACCUUUCGGGGUUAGUGGCGGACGGGUGAGUAACACGUGGGAACGUGCCUUUAGGUUCGGAAUAACUCAGGGAAACUUGUGCUAAUACCGAAUGUGCCCUUCGGGGGAAAGAUUUAUCGCCUUUAGAGCGGCCCGCGUCUGAUUAGCUAGUUGGUUGAGGUAAUGGCUCACCAAGGCGACGAUCAGUAGCUGGUCUGAGAGGAUGAUCAGCCACAUUGGGACUGAGACACGGCCCAAACUCCUACGGGAGGCAGCAAUGGGGAAUCUUGCGCAAUGGGCGAGAGCAUGACGCAGCCAUGCCGCGUGAAUGAUGAAGGUCUUAGGAUUGUAGAAUUCUUUCACCGGGGACGAUAAUGACGGUACCCGGAGAAGAAGCCCCGGCUAACUUCGUG
rnacentral:rRNA from 1 species